UCAGGAACUGUUUGACUCCCAGUGACCUCUAGUGGUGAAAUGUAGGUAUUCACAACCAUCAAGUUACAGCUCUUCCUCUGAAAACGCUGUACCGCUGAGUUUCACUGCAUUCUGAAUGAAAAGCCCAGUGCCUGAUGCUGACAGCCACCUGCACUAACAGCUGUUCAUCUGUUGGGAUCCUUAUCUUAACCCACCACUUUAAGAAGAGCAGGCAAGCUCCACUUGGUGCCUUGUUGGAGCCUCCAGUACAAUGCUGAAUACAAAUGGCUGAUCAGAGUCCAGGACCGCAGAGGACGAUGGAGUCAACCAACCAAAAAUCACAUGGCUGCUGUAUUAGGGUGAAAAGGUAAAUUGGAGCCUAGAGAAGCAACCAACUGGUGUAACCCAGGCAAGAUGGCAGCCCAUGCAACCUGACAAGACAUAUGAUGCAAACAACCAGAAAGUCAAGAGAAAAAAUGUCUUUUAAUUCUUCAAAUGCAGAUCUGCAUUCACAAUAAAAUAAAGGAAACCCCCUAGGGAACAAAAAAAGAAGAAAAUGGGAACCCAGAGAGGGAAGCAAGAACUAACACUUGACCAUAGGAGGCCUUGUACAGGUUCCAAAGUGUUUGGCUUUUGUGGUCACUUGGAUCAGGAGACAAGGCCUUGAGACCAGGCAAACAAGGAGACAGAUGCAACUGAAGCUUCUACUACACUCUCAUCUAGUCCAAGAAAAUAUCCACCCAAUUGUACAGGGGAGGAAGCUUGCUGGUCUGUGUGUUCACUGAAUGUUGCUUUGGCUUUUGUUUGUUUCUCAUUCUGGGACUUACUAAUCACAAGUUUGAAAAUAUUCUACUUGUGUGAUCUUGAAGUAUAUGAUCCAAUAAAUUAAAAUAA